UUGGAAGUAAAANUCGUAACAAGGUUUCCGUAGGUGAACCUGCGGAAGGAUCAUUACCUAGAGUUUGCAGACUUCGGUCUGCUACCUCUUACCCAUGUCUUUUGAGUACCUUCGUUUCCUCGGCGGGUCCGCCCGCCGAUUGGACAACAUUCAAACCCUUUGCAGUUGCAAUCAGCGUCUGAAAAAACAUAAUAGUUACAACUUUCAACAACGGAUCUCUUGGUUCUGGCAUCGAUGAAGAACGCAGCGAAAUGCGAUAAGUAGUGUGAAUUGCAGAAUUCAGUGAAUCAUCGAAUCUUUGAACGCACAUUGCGCCCCUUGGUAUUCCAUGGGGCAUGCCUGUUCGAGCGUCAUUUGUACCUUCAAGCUCUGCUUGGUGUUGGGUGUUUGUCUCGCCUCUGCGUGUAGACUCGCCUUAAAACAAUUGGCAGCCGGCGUAUUGAUUUCGGAGCGCAGUACAUCUCGCGCUUUGCACUCAUAACGACGACGUCCAAAAGUACAUUUUUACACUCUUGACCUCGGAUCAGGUAGGGAUACCCGCUGAACUUAAGCAUAUCAUAA
rnacentral:rRNA from 1 species